UUUGAUCCUGUUUUUGAGCAA
rnacentral:piRNA from 1 species